UUGGGGUCUCCCGCUCCACCUCCAUCUCCCACGCCAACGUAGAGCAUCCCGUCGGGCCCGAAUUCGAGUUGUCCUCCGUUGUGGUUCGAGAACGGCUGCUCGAUCUCAAGGUAGAACUUCCCACUGGAAGGGUCCGCCCGAUCACUCCGGUCCACAUCGCGGUACUCCUCGAGGACUGUAUUCCCAGCGGUGUUCGUGUAGUACACCCAGAACCGCCCAGUCGCCCGGUAAUCUGGAUCGAACGCGAGUCCCAGGAGGCCCCGCUCGCCGCCAAAGCGAACCCGG
rnacentral:rRNA from 1 species